GGGAAGUAAAAGUCGUAACAAGGUUUCCGUAGGUGAACCUGCGGAAGGAUCAUUACAGUAUUCUUUUCAAGCUGGAUUGAUUUUGGCUUCAUUCCACUUGUGGUAUUUUACUGCGCUGCUGAAAUAUUGCGUGCGCGGUAGGUUCCAUGAGCAGUUUGUCUGUCAGGUCUUUCUAUACCAAAAGCUUGGAAAACCUCCUACACACUUUGUUUUCUUAUUAAAGACAAAUUUGCUUUGGCUAGCUGUUGCAUAAAACCACAGGCUGGCCGAAGGUUUUAUAACAACUCUUGUUUUUGUUUUCCAACUUGCUUGGAGAAUUAGAAACGUGUUUAAAUAAUACUAGUCAUAAUCAUGAAGUCUUUGUAAAAAAGCUUUAACUAAAAUUUAAAACUUUCAACAACGGAUCUCUUGGUUCUCGCAUCGAUGAAGAACGCAGCGAAAUGCGAUAAGUAAUGUGAAUUGCAGAUUUUCGUGAAUCAUUGAAUCUUUGAACGCACAUUGCGCCCUCUGGUAUUCCGGAGGGCAUGCCUGUUUGAGCGUCAUUUCCUUCUCACACCCUCCAGGGUAUGGUGAUGGGUGAUACUUUGAGUGAUCAAAGUUCACUUGAAAUGCAUUGGCAUGAGUUUUUGUUUACUGAAAGCAGUUGUUUAUCAAUGUAUUAGGUUUAUUCCAUCGUUGAAUUAGCAGUUGUAGAAA
rnacentral:misc_RNA from 1 species